UUUGGCACUUGUAGAAUUCACUGA
rnacentral:miRNA from 1 species